GCAUACCCAGGAUUUAUGCCCCUCCUAACAUUUCACCUGUUGCAUGAGCACUGGAGGGCAAAGGAUUUCACAGCCCUGGCAGCCUGGCUUCUCUGGACCCAACUCAAAACUUUGCUUCAAGCUCAUUGCAAUUUGUACAGCUCGAAUGAAGGCUCAGAUGAGCACUCCGGUCUGGCUGCUCAUCACUGCAUUUCACUUGGCAUGUAGGCUACGGAUGAGGAAUGCACAGAAUUUCCUUUUCCACCCCGUCAGAUCCUCUGUCUUGAGCCUGGCCCAGCCCCAAGAGCACAACGGAUGCAGCUGGAGAAGGGCAGGUCCAAUCUUGCUGCUCAGCUCCAGUGACACUUAACCUCCUCUGCUGCUGAGCUGCUUGCAGCUGGCAGUGGAUGCUAAUGAGCAUCAGCCUACUGAAAUGGCUCAUCAGGGAAGGAAGGGGAGCUGAUUUCUUUGACUGGAGAAGGCAAUAGAAGCUGGAGCUUUUGUGGGAGAAGGUGACCCUCAAUCUUAAUGAAGGUGGUCUUUGGUUUUGCAGCUUGGUUUUUCUAUUGCUGUUGAUCUGCUUGAGAAGGGAUCGGUGUCCUGCUACUUGUCUGCAGCAGCUGCCUCAUAUCUGCUACCUUAUGGACCCCUUCCAACUCAGGAUAUCCUAUGAUUCCUCCUCCAUCAUCCUUCUGCUGAACCUGGGACCUCCACAGUGAGCAGCUAAAGGCAUUCUGUGUCUACACCAGGGAGAAGAGAGAAGCUCUCUGUGAGGCCUGGAAAAGGGAUGGAGCCGCAGCAGAAGCAUUCCUGCUCAUAUCAGACAGCUGUGGAUGGCAAUGGGUCAUUUCACUCCAUUAUGGUUUCUGGCAAUUCUAGCUGCAUCAUCUGUCACAGAAAGAAGCAAAAUGACAAAGAGAGAAAAGAUCAGUAAAUUUUAAGCUGGAGAAGAAAGACCAUUCAACCCAAGGAGAAGCAGAUAAAUGGGGAAUCAUUACCUUCACUGCCCUCAUCUUCACACCAAGCUGCCUUGAGUGCCACUUGCCUGGGCGAUGUCACAAGAGAUGUGACCAUGUGAAACCAUGAGUCCUGUCCCCAUCUCCUGGAAGUGGAACCCCUGUGCUGGGGUUUGCUGGGACUGGGCUUGAUGUGGUGUGAUGGGGAAGCAGCCCCUGGCUGUGCUGCUCAGAGCCCAUCAGAUUCACUCCAAGCCAGGAAUUGGGCCGAAGUCUUCAAAGGUGAAAGGCUGAUCCACUUGCCACCCCCCCACCGUGCUGCUGAGUCCCUCUGCUUUGUGAAGGAGAUGCUGAAUUUGGGGAAAUCACUCCUGCAA